rnacentral:lncRNA from 14 species
AUGGAAUAAACAUGUCUGAUAAGCAAUUUUCUAAUAGGAAAAUCUGAUCUCUCUUACUUAAAGAGAAAUAGUGAGGAAGAAGGCAUGUGUGGAGUUCUUAACUGCUGAGACUGAACAAGCAGAGUGAUAGAAGCUGGUCUGCAAUGUCAAACACCAGGUUCUUGUUGUAAGUAAUCUAAACCUUUGCACACCACAAUGUAUUUCCUUAAGUCAGUGUGACUGAUAUAUCUGUCUCGGCCAGGCUGACCCCAGUGGAGUUUGCUGCAAUGCUCUGCUGCUCAUGGCAACGUUGAAACUACCAACCUGAGCCAAAAUCACACAUCUUAGAAGACAAGGAUCUGAUCUUUGGAGUUUAUUCACACUGCAUAGCACAAGCUGAGCAAGAAAGAUACCCUGGUGCUGAAUUUUACAUAGUAGUGUUUGAAUAUUGUUGGGUUCUUAUUCUUCUCCCCCCAAAAAAGAAAAAAAAUAAAAGUAUUUGGAAAUACCCGAUGCACCUUUUCAUUGCUUU